UGGGGUGCUCCAGAGUGAGCAGGAAAGCCGCUUGGUAGGGAUGGACUGGACAGCACGCUGACUAAGCACUGAGGCCUACUCGUAGAAGACUUUCCAAAUUGCUGAGAAAGCAGCCUGAAGCCAAGUCUCUGCCUGGCAGGGAGCCCCUUGGAGCUUUCCAGGACCAGAGUUACAUUUCAUCCCUUCCUCUUGAAGGUCACAGCUCCAAGGUAGGGUCUCAAGUCAUCUGGCUUGGACUUGCUGUUUCUCAGAGGGUGACCUUGGGCUUCUUACUCCCUGCCUCAUCUCCUGGACCUAGAUAACCAGUCUGUGCAGCCGUACCCUGAGGACAUUUCCAGCGUCAGCCAUGAAGGUCACAUAGAGAGCUGGGUGGUGCUGACUCAGUUCCUACUGUGUAGUGUCGUACAGGCAAUCCAAGAUGGAAACUCCUUUCACCCCUGCUCUGGAGAAGUCAAACUAAGAUGACUUGGGAUACCACGCUCCUUUCCACACACUGUUCUGUCUUUGCUUUAAGGAGUUGGUUGGUAAUCCAGGGGUCUUGUUUGAUAUUUUAGUCAUGUGUUCAUUUAAGCCAUUAAACUUAUUAGCAGUUUUUAAUCUACUAUCCAGACGCCUCAGACUAAGAAUUCUGCCACCUGUGCAGGAAGCAGGAGGAAGCUGGUGAAGUCACUGUUUUUGGAUGAGUUCUCAGCCAGGCCCUCUCAAGUCGCCUUUGUUUUGAAGUCAUGCUAAUGGUGAAACCAGCUUGGAGGAAAAAAAUCCAUCUUUAUCAUACUCUA
rnacentral:sRNA from 1 species